rnacentral:rRNA from 1 species
AUUGAACGCUAGCGGGAUGCCUUACACAUGCAAGUCGAUCGGCAGCGCGGACUUCGGUCUGGCGGCGAGUGGCGAACGGGUGAGUAAUAUAUCGGAACGUGCCUAGUAGCGGGGGAUAACUACUCGAAAGAGUGGCUAAUACCGCAUACGCCCUACGGGGGAAAGGGGGGGAUCGCAAGACCUCUCACUAUUAGAGCGGCCGAUAUCGGAUUAGCUAGUUGGUGGGGUAAAGGCCCACCAAGGCGACGAUCCGUAGCUGGUUUGAGAGGACGACCAGCCACACUGGGACUGAGACACGGCCCAGACUCCUACGGGAGGCAGCAGUGGGGAAUUUUGGACAAUGGGGGAAACCCUGAUCCAGCCAUUCCGCGUGUGCGAUGAAGGCCUUCGGGUUGUAAAGCACUUUUGGCAGGAAAGAAAUCGCACAGAUUAAUACUUUGUAUGGAUGACGGUACCUGCAGAAUAAGCACCGGCUAACUACGUGCC